rnacentral:rRNA from 1 species
UACAGAGACUGCAAGCGUUAUUCGGAUUCACUGGGCGUAAAGGGUGCGCAGGCGGCCAAGUGUGUGAGGCGUGAAAGCCCGGGGCUUAACCCCGGAAUUGCACCUCAAACUACUUGGCUAGAGCAUUGGAGAGGGUAGCAGAAUUCACGGUGUGGCAGUGAAAUGCGUAGAUAUCGUGAGGAAUACCAGAGGCGAAGGCGGCUACCUGGACAAUUGCUGACGCUCAGGCACGAAAGCGUGGGGAGCAAAAGGG